rnacentral:rRNA from 1 species
GUGGGGAAUAUUGGGCAAUGGGCGAAAGCCUGACCCAGCAACGCCGCGUGAAGGAAGAAGGCCCUCGGGUUGUAAACUUCUUUUAAGAGGGACGAAAGAAAUGACGGUACCUCUUGAAUAAGCCACGGCUAACUACGUGCAAGCAGCCGCGGUAAUACGUAGGUGGCGAGCGUUAUCCGGAUUUACUGGGUGUAAAGGGCGUGUAGGCGGGAGUGCAAGUCAGAUGUGAAAAUUAUGGGCUCAACCCAUAACCUGCAUUUGAAACUGUUCUUCUUGAGUGAUGGAGAGGCAGGCGGAAUUCCGUGUGUAGCGGUGAAAUGCGUAGAUAUACGGAGGAACACCAGUGGCGAAGGCGGCCUGCUGGACAUUAACUGACGCUGAGGCGCGAAAGCGUGGGGAGCAAACAGGAUUAGAAACCCCGGUAGUCC